GAUAUCAAAUGAAAAAGUCAUCAACAACAAAGUUGAAUAACUCAUUAAGAUCUAAAAUUUUAUUUUGGUCAUUUCUUCAUACGGCAAAGUGAUAGUAACAUUGUUCACAAAAUUGAUAUAUUUCUUAUUUGGUUUAUAAACUAUAACACAUAUAUGUAAAAAUUGUGAAUAAUGUUACUAACAUUUUGUUGGAUGAAGAAAUAGCAAAAACAAAAGUGUUAGAUCUUAAUGAGUUAUUCAACUUUGUUGUUGAUGACUUUUUCAAUUGAAAUC
rnacentral:pre_miRNA from 1 species